rnacentral:lncRNA from 1 species
UACUUUGCUGGUUCCAAAAUUUUUUAUUGAGAAAACACUCUGCCAAACGCGUAGCCACUGUGAGAGAGAUUCAUUUUUGUUCUGAGUGAUCUUGUGCAGCCACGCGCACGGUAACAUUGUGCGCUCGUUUGUCGUGCCAUUACCGUUGUUGGAUCUGCAUACUUUGUUUCACAAACCGAAAACGCAUGUGGUUGCAUCAUAAAGCGCUACACUGAAUCAUCAACCCGUGAAGAACACGGGAUCCACUAUGGACAGGUGUACUGAAAACUCCCGUGCAACCUCCAGAACAAUCAGUCCACACGCGCCACGUGUCCAGGCGCGGUAAACCCUCUAAUCCGUAUCUGACAGGUGUCAAGCCCUUUUCCAGCCGCUGCACCAGAUCCAAA